AGAGUUUGAUCCUGGCUCAGGAUGAACGCUAGCGAUAGGCUUAACACAUGCAAGUCGAGGGGCAGCAUGGUCUUAGCUUGCUAAGACUGAUGGCGACCGGCGCACGGGUGCGUAACGCGUAUGCAACUUGCCUCACAGAGGGGGAUAACCCGUCGAAAGACGGACUAAUACCGCGUACACUUGGGAUAGGGCAUCCUACUCCAAGGAAAUGAAUUUCGCUGUGAGAUAGGCAUGCGUCCCAUUAGCUAGUUGGUGAGGUAACGGCUCACCAAGGCGACGAUGGGUAGGGGAACUGAGAGGUUGAACCCCCACACUGGUACUGAGACACGGACCAGACUCCUACGGGAGGCAGCAGUGAGGAAUAUUGGUCAAUGGGCGAGAGCCUGAACCAGCCAAGUCGCGUGAAGGAUGACUGUCUUAUGGAUUGUAAACUUCUUUUAUACGGGAAUAACAAGAGCCACGUGUGGCUCCCUGCAUGUACCGUAUGAAUAAGCAUCGGCUAACUCCGUGCCAGCAGCCGCGGUAAUACGGAGGAUGCGAGCGUUAUCCGGAUUUAUUGGGUUUAAAGGGUGCGUAGGCGGCCUGUUAAGUCAGCGGUGAAAUCUAGGAGCUUAACUCCUAAAUUGCCAUUGAUACUGGCGGGCUUGAGUGUAGAUGAGGUAGGCGGAAUGCGUGGUGUAGCGGUGGAAUGCAUAGAUAUCACGCAGAACUCCGAUUGCGAAGGCAGCUUACUAAGGUACAACUGACGCUGAAGCACGAAAGCGUGGGUAUCAAACAGGAUUAGAUACCCUGGUAGUCCACGCAGUAAACGAUGAUAACUGGGCGUAUGCGAUAUACAGUAUGCUCCUAAGCGAAAGCGUUAAGUUAUCCACCUGGGGAGUACGCCGGCAACGGUGAAACUCAAAGGAAUUGACGGGGGCCCG
rnacentral:rRNA from 1 species